AGUGAACGCUGGCGGUAGGCCUAAUACAUGCAAGUCGAACGAAAGGACAGUAAGAUUUUGCUUUUACGGGUGGCGACUGGCGGACGAGUAAGACAUAGAUCAGCUUCUUCUUUUUCGUGGAGGACAUCGGAAGGCAGCUGAUACUAACACAUAAUACCUUCUACCGGUGGAUGCAAGGGUUAUUGGCACCUUUGGCGACUGAAUGAGACGAUGUCGGAUUAGCUAGUUGGUGGGGUAACGGCCCAGCAUGGCGACGAUGCGUAGCUGAUCUGAGAGGGUGAUCGGCCACACUGGAACUGAGACACGGUCCAGACUCCUACGGGAGGCAGCAGUGGGGAAUAUUGGGCAAUGGGCGCAAGCCUGAUCCAGCCAUACCGCGUGGGUGAAGAAGGCCUUCGGGUCGUAAAGCCCUUUUGUUGGGAAAGAAAAGCUGCAGAAUGAUACCCCGCUGUUCUGACGGUACCCAAUGAGAAAGCACCGGCUAACUACGUG
rnacentral:rRNA from 1 species